ensembl:lncRNA
AUCUAUCUAUCUAUCUAUCUAUCUAUCUAUCUAUCUAUCUAUCUAUCUAUCUAUCUAUCUAUCUAUCUAUCUAUCUAUCUAUAUAUUAGGCUGUAUAUGGAAAAACGUAUGUUAAAUGUUAAAAAGGUUAGUUGUGUGUUAGCUAUUAUGAAGUUAUGUCACUCAGCUGAAUGAACCAGAACUGAGGUGGUCUAGCAAACUGGGAACAAACAAGAGGUAAACAAACCAUAGUGCCCUUGAGUGAAAAAAAGAUGAAAACACUGAGCAAGCAGUCGUUUAGCUGAUGCGUUUCUCCAGAAUGACUUUGUUACAGGACCCCCAUCCGAGGUGACGUGCCUUGCAUUGUUUCUUGUAAUGAGGAACUGAAAGUGCUUGCUAUAUACAAUUCACAAAAACACCCUGUCAUAUGGUCUUUCCCUGGUGUUGUUUCAAAAGGGACUAUUAAUAAGGAGGAGUUUUGGAUUCUCAUUAAGAAGAAAGUAAUUGCAAGAGUGUUGUCAUGAUGCUAUAUCAGAAAAGUGCAGAUAGUACUGAACAAAUCAUGAAAAUGGACAUGGAAUAUGAAAAGAGGACGACGUUUCGCAAAGAUCGUUGUAGCAGACAAACUGGCAUCGUCCUAAUUCUAGGAGUGUGCAUGAUUGUUUUCAUGACCAUGACUUUUGUCAUCUUUUUGCAUCAACAAAGAAAAUUCUCGAUGCUGGAGAGUUGGAUGAACAGUCAGAGUUCAAAUCUAACUUCAGUCAAACCUGAUCUUCAGAACACAGAGCGUCAGGAUGUGUUAUACACUGAAGUGAAGAGUUUGAUGCUCGGUUUGAGUUCUGCAGUAUCAGCGCUGACAUCCAAACUAAAUGAUGCAGUUGGCAAACAGGACCAGAAACAGACUGAAACAAAAAAAUUAUUAGACAGUUUGAGCUCAUCUGUUACUUCUCUACAGUCUGAUCAACAAAAGAAGCAGAGUGACUUUGAGUCUCUGUCGAGCUCACUGAAUGAUCUGAAGAGUUCAACUUCAGAGCUCUCUUCUUCUGUCGCAUCUAUAUCUUCUCAACUAUCAGUCCACAUUCAGGAUGUGUCGCAAACUGACAUAAAGAGUUUGAUGAACACUUUGAGUUCUGCAGUGUCAGCGCUUACAGGGCAGCUGAAUGAUGCAGUUAACAAGCAGGACCAGAAACAGAGUGAAGCGGAAAGAUCACUGGACAGUUUGAAGGCAUCUGUAGAGUCUGAUCAACAAAAUAAACAACGUGACUUCGAGUCUCUUUCGAGCUCAUUGAGGGACCUGAAGAGUUCAGUUUCAGUUCUCACUUCUUCUGUAGCAUCUAUUUCUUCUCAACUAUCAGUCAGCAGUGAGUAAACCUUACAUUACGUGCAAUACAGCACUCGAAUCCAUAACUCUACAAUCAGGGUGUGAAUUAUAGAGUGAGGUGGUCUGAACCCCUCCAACAGACAUCAUAACGAAAGUAUUUAGUCAAUAUAUUUCAUAAGAAGGAAUAGUCUUAAAGGAAUAGUUCACCCAAAAAUAAAAAUUUGCUGAGCAUUUAAUCA